GCCGCUAUGGAUCAACGGUCAAAUCCAUUGCCAACGUUGAGCUGCGAACGCAAUGAUCGGGGGUUCGAUUCCCCCAGCGGCA